rnacentral:rRNA from 1 species
ACUCCUACGGGAGGCAGCAGUGGGGAAUAUUGCACAAUGGGCGCAAGCCUGAUGCAGCCAUGCCGCGUGUGUGAAGAAGGCCUUCGGUUGUGAAAUGGCAACUUUACAGUCGUGAGGAAGGUAGUGUAGUUAAUAGCUGCAUUAUUUGACGUUAGCGACAGAAGAAGCACCGGCUAACUCCGUGCCAGCAGCCGCGGUAAUACGGAGGGUGCGAGCGUUAAUCGGAAUUACUGGGCGUAAAGCGCAUGCAGGUGGUUUGUU